CGUAGGUGGCAAGCGUUGUCCGGAUUUAUUGGGUUUAAAGGGUGCGUAGGCGGUCUUUUAAGUCAGUGGUGAAAUACUUCAGCUCAACUGGAGAGGUGCCAUUGAUACUGGGAGACUUGAGUACUGAGGAGGUAGGCGGAAUGGACGGUGUAGCGGUGAAAUGCUUAGAUAUCGUCCAGAACACCGAUAGCGAAGGCAGCUUACUAAGGAGUAACUGACGCUGAGGCACGAAAGUGUGGGGGAUCAAACAGGAUUAGAUACCCUGGUAGUCCACACUGUAAACGAUGAUUACUCGAUGUUGGCGAUACACAGCCAGCGUCUUAGCGAAAGCGAUAAGUAAUCCACCUGGGGAGUACGCCGGCAACGGUG
rnacentral:rRNA from 1 species